UACGGAGGGGGCUAGCGUUGUUCGGAAUUACUGGGCGUAAAGCGCGCGUAGGCGGCUUAUCAAGUUAGGCGUGAAAGGCCUGGGCUCAACCCGGGAACUGCGCUUAAUACUGGUAGACUUGAGUCCGGGAGAGGGUGGCGGAAUUCCGGGUGUAGAGGAGAAAUUCGUAGAUAUCCGGAGGAACACCAGUAGCGAAGGCGGCUCACUAGCCCGAUACUGACGCUGAGAUGCGAAAGCGUGGGGAGCAAACAGGAUUAGAAACCCGGGUAGUCC
rnacentral:rRNA from 1 species